GAUGAACGCUAGCUACAGGCUUAACACAUGCAAGUCGAGGGAACGGCGCACGGGUGAGUAACACGUAUCCAACCUGCCCUUUACUCGGGGAUAGCCUUUCGAAAGAAAGAUUAAUACCCGAUAUAAAGGAUGGGGAUGCGUUCCAUUAGGUUGUUGGUGAGGUAACGGCACACCAAGACUUCGAUGGAUAGGGGUUCUGAGAGGAAUGACCCUCAGAGUGGAAAUGAGACACGGUCCAAACGACUACGGGAGGCAGCAGUGAGGAAUAUUGGUCAAUGGGCGCGAGCCUGAAACAGCCAGGUAGCGUGAAGGAUGAAGGCUUAUGGGUCGUAAACUUCUUUUAUAUAAGAAUAUGUAUUUUAUGAAUAAGGAUCGGCUAACUCCGUGCCAGAGGCCGCGGUAAUAC
rnacentral:rRNA from 1 species